GAAUCUUGCACAAUGGGCGCAAGCCUGAUGCAGUAACGCCGCGUGCGGGAAGACGACCUUCGGGUUGUAAACCGCUUUUCACCGUGACGAGCGAGGACGGUAACGGUGGAAUCAGUCUCGGCUAACUACGUGCCAGCAGCCGCGGUAAGACGUAGGAGGCGAGCGUUAGCCGGAUUCACUGGGCGUAAAGCGCAUGUAGGCGGUUGGUCAAGUCGGUUGUGAAAGCCCCUGGCUCAACUGGGGGAGGACAACGGAGACUGAGCGACUGGAGGACAGCAGAGGAGCGUGGAACUCCCGGUGUAGCGGUGGAAUGCGUAGAGAUCGGGAAGAACACCAGUGGCGAAGGCGGCGCUCUGGGCUGUGCCUGACGCUGAGAUGCGAAAGUGUGGGGAGCAAACGGG
rnacentral:rRNA from 1 species